rnacentral:rRNA from 1 species
UACGGAGGGGACUAGCGUUGUUCGGAAUUACUGGGCGUAAAGCGUGCGCAGGCGGUUGUGCAAGACAGAUGUGAAAUCCCCGGGCUUAACCUGGGAACUGCAUUUGUGACUGCAUAGCUAGAGUACGGUAGAGGGGGAUGGAAUUCCGCGUGUAGCAGUGAAAUGCGUAGAUAUGCGGAGGAACACCGAUGGCGAAGGCAAUCCCCUGGACCUGUACUGACGCUCAUGCACGAAAGCGUGGGGAGCAAACAGG